GAAGGAACACUUACAUUAACUAUGCUGCAAACGUCCUAGGUAAAGUAUAUAGUCUGACAUUGGAGGAGUACACUGAAUGGGGUUGCCUUUUAGGAGAAGGGAUUUUGCUUCCAUCCCAAUCUCACACCAGAAGGAUGGUGGAGCUAGUGAGGCAGGUAACAAAGUCCAUUGACAAGGAUACAUAGUGACCCUGAGUGUGGAGGACGUUAUUCAGUGAGGCUGACCAACUCUGUAAGGAGAAGACCAACCUUCAUCUGAAAGUAAAGAUGCAAAAUCUGACAGAAAGAGGACGCAGGCCACAAAAGAGCUAGCAGAUAUUACUGCACAGAUCCCUCACUAGCUAAGUUAUUGGUUUGGUUCUAAGAUAACACCCACUGCAUCUCAUCCCAACAGUGGUAGCUCUGAAAACAUCACAGACACCCAAGGCCCUUCUAUUACCAUUGCAAGCAUCCAGAACAUCACAGCAGAGACCAGUUUUGCAUGUGAAAUCACUUCUGAAAAUAUUAAUGUAAACACCCCUGCUUCAAGUCACAAACCAGCAGAGGAUUUCCAGAAGAUGACAUUAGAUUUAGAUUUUGCCUACCACAACAACCCUGAAAAUAAUGAUGCUGCCAGCUGCACUUCUAGCACAGAUUGAGAUGCUUCCAGCAUGACUGUUAGCUACAGUCACUUUACAGAAGUGCCAUCUACCUUGGAAGAUGCAGAAUACCAACAAGGUGAAAUUUCUUCACUCUGGGACAAAGGUCGUGACAAAAGAAAUGUAAGUAGAGAUCUGCUUCUUAAAAAUGAUCCUACUUUAAGUACUUAACAUGCAGCUGAGAAAAUGCCACUUGCUCCAUUUAAGCCAGCAUGUAUGACUACUGAUCCUUCCUGUUUUCUAGCAUGCAAUUCAGUUUGUUGCAGUAAUAUUGAUGAGAUUUUCCAACCAGGAACUGUAAAAGAAACUUGUAUUAAGCAAGCUGUUUUGAGAAGUAAAUCAAAAACUGAAUGCAGAAGUUGUCAACCACAAUGGUUUUCAUCUUUCUCUUGGUUAACCUACUGCCAGUAAAAGGAUGUGUAUAUUGUUAUUAUUACUUGGAGCUAGCACUAAUGUCCAAGCCUACACCAAAAAAACUAUAUGAGUA